CGAAGGCAGCCUGCUGGGGCUGUUCUGACCGUUCAGGACGAAAAGCUGGGGGAGCAACCCGGAUUAGAUACCCGAGUAGUUCCCAGCCGUAAACCCAUGGGCGCUAGACGUCGUCCGUAAGGGCGGUGUCUCAGCUAACGCGUUAAGCGCCCGCCUGGGGAGUACGGGCGCAAGCCUGAAACUCAAAGGAAUUGGCGGGGGCCCGCACAACCGGUGGAGCGUCUGGUUCGAUUCGAUGCUAACCGAAAAACCUUACCCGGGCUUGACAUGAUGGGAAACCCUUGCGAAAGCGAGGGGUGCCGUCCUCUGGACGGAAUCCCAUCACAGGUGGUGCAUGGCCGUCGUCAGCUCGUGUCGUGAGAUGUUGGGUUAAGUCCCGCAACGAGCGCAACCCCUGCCCUUAGUUGCCACUCUACGGAGGGCACUCUAAGGGGACUGCCGGCGAUAAGCCGGAGGAAGGUGGGGAUGACGUCAGGUCAGUAUGCCCUUUAUGCCCGGGGCAACACAGGCGCUACAGUGGCCGGGACAAUGGGAAGCGACCCAGAAAUGGGGAGCAAAUCCUCAAACCCGGUCAUGGUGCAGAUUGAGGGCUGAAACUCGCCCUCAUGAAGCCGGAAUCGGUAGUAAUGGCGGAUCAGCUAAGCCGCCGUGAAUACGUUCUCGGGCCUUGCACACACCGCCCGUCACGCCACGGAAGUCAGUCUUCCCGGAAGCCCUCGAGCUAACCCGCAAGGGAGGCAGAGGACGAUGGGAAGGCUGGCAACUGGGGCGAAGUCGUAACAAGGUAGCCGUAGGGGAACCUGCGGCUGGAUCACCUCCUU
rnacentral:rRNA from 1 species